rnacentral:misc_RNA from 1 species
GAUGAAGAACGUAGCGAAAUGCGAUAAGUAAUGUGAAUUGCAGAAUUCAGUGAAUCAUCGAAUCUUUGAACGCACAUUGCGCCCGCCAGUAUUCUGGCGGGCAUGCCUGUCCGAGCGUCAUUUCAACCCUCGGGCCCCCCUCUGCGGGCGGCCCGGCGUUGGGGCUCAGGCGCCGUCUCUGCUCGGCGCCUGUCCCCUAAAUGCAGUGGCGGCCUCGCCGCUGCCUCCUCCGCGUAGUAGCACAAACCUCGCGGCUGGAAGGCGGCGCGGCCACGCCGUAAAACCCCCCAACUUUACCAAGGUUGACCUCGGAUCAGGUAGGAAUACCCGCUGAACUUAAGCAUAUCAAUAACGGAGGA